AUUGAACGCUGGCGGCAGGCUUAACACAUGCAAGUCGAACGAGUGGCGGACGGGUGAGUAAUGCUUGGGAAUCUGGCUUAUGGAGGGGGAUAACGACGGGAAACUGUCGCUAAUACCGCGUACCAUAGGAUGAGCCCAAGUGGGAUUAGGUAGUUGGUGGGGUAAUGGCCUACCAAGGCGACGAUCCGUAACUGGUCUGAGAGGAUGAUCAGGCACACUGGAACUGAGACACGGUCCAGACUCCUACGGGAGGCAGCAGUGGGGAAUAUUGGACAAUGGGCGAAAGCUGAUCCAGCCAUGCCGCGUGAGUGAAGAAGGUUUUCGGAUCGUAAAACUCUGUUGUUAGAGAAGCGGUAGCUAACCAGAAAGCCACGGCUAACUACGUGCCAGCAGCCGCGGUAAUUC
rnacentral:rRNA from 1 species